rnacentral:rRNA from 1 species
GACGAACGCUGGCGGCGUGCUUAACACAUGCAAGUCGAACGGAAAGGCCCUGCUUUUGUGGGGUGCUCGAGUGGCGAACGGGUGAGUAACACGUGAGUAACCUGCCCUUGACUUUGGGAUAACUUCAGGAAACUGGGGCUAAUACCGGAUAUGAGCUCCUGCUGCAUGGUGGGGGUUGGAAAGUUUCGGCGGUUGUGGAUGGACUCGCGGCUUAUCAGCUUGUUGGUGGGGUAGUGGCUUACCAAGGCUUUGACGGGUAGCCGGCCUGAGAGGGUGACCGGCGACAUGGGGACUGAGAUACGGCCCAGACUCGUACGGGAGGCAGCAGGGGGGAAUAUGGCACAAUGGGCGGAAGCCUGAUGCAGCAACGCCGCGUGCGGGAUGACGGCCUUCGGGUUGUAAACCGCUUUCGCCUGUGACGAAGCGUGAGUGACGGUAAUGGGUAAAGAAGCACCGGCUAACUACGUG